rnacentral:lncRNA from 1 species
CCACAUGUAAACGAGGUAGAACUUCUAUUCUUAACUGACUUCUGUAAUCUGUACCAUUUCCUAAAACCCCUUAUCUCCAUAGGAACUCCCUGAAACAAAAAUAUUUCCACCAAUGGCAGAACGCAGUACUCCUGUGCCUUCCUCUUGAAGCCUGAAAAGUGCUUUUUCUUCACAUUGGGAGGGGGAAGGGACCUUCCUGACAUUGGCCUAUAUUACUCAGGAUGUAGCUCAAGAUCCAGAAGAUGGGCCUCCUGGUAAGAUUCACAUAGCAAUCAUAGAAAAUCGGGCUCAGCACUUGGUGUAGAAUCAGGAAAAUUACAAGAUGAAUGGACCGUUGUGAAUAUGAAACAUAGCCUGUUCUUUAAAGUGAAAAGGAAGGAAAGAAAGACCCUGGCAAUUAUCGCCCUGUAAACAUCAGUUCCAGCUGUAAUAAGUGUGUGUGUGUGUUGUGUGUGUGUGUGUGUGUGUGUGUGUGUGCGCGCGCGCGCACACACAUGCGUGUGGUUAAGUAGCAGGAAAGUGAUGAUAUCAGGAACAAUAAGUGGCUUAGGCUUCAAAGAAACAAAUCAUGCCAGCACAAUAGCUUUUUUUUUUUGACAGAGUUAUGAAUAGAUGGUGGGGAAAUGCAAGAGAUGUAAUAUAUCUUAUGUUAGUAAAGAUUUGAUAUGUCUCAGGAAAUUUUAUUUGCAAAAUUAGCUACAAGAUCACAAAGAAAGGUUAUUGAUAAAUUGCAAAGUAUCUGGUGGUAGGAAGGUGCAGAGAUGGCCGCCUGGGAUGGCCUUAUUUAACAGUUUCAUCAUUAAUUUGGAAGAGGGAGUGAAUCUUUCUCUGUGUUCAUAAAAAUUGCAGGUUAUACGAAAUCAGGACAUGGUGUGAACACUGAUCAGCCAGGGACUGACACAAAGUGGUCCCCAAAGAAGGAAGAUUGGACAGAAACAAGAGGCAACUGAGAAGAGCCACAUUUUUAGUGAAAUUCCACCUUGAUAAACCCUCUGGAAGAAAUAGUUUUUUACAAAGAACUUGGACUUGUUUGGGUAUCCCCCAGGCUUCCACACACCCCAGGAGACACGGGAAGCUGACCACCCCCCCCCCCCCACACACACACACUCCACAGUUCCCAGGAGUGAGCCUGAUUUAAUAAGGAUCAUCUUGUUCCUGCAGAGGAGAGGUAUCCGGUGGUGUUCCUGAGACCUUGCUUCACCACCAACAGGCCACUGAGAACGGCUGGGGACUGUGGCUCCAGGGCUGAGCACCAGGCCCGCUCCACCAUGGGAUCCUGGCAGAUGGAAUUGGGUCCAGUUGUGUGUAUGGGUCAUUGGAUGUAGAUUUACCUCACAUCUCAGGCCCAAACAGCUUUUAUAAAGAAUAAAAGCUUCUCUAAAGAAUGUGUAGGAUUAGGA